UACGAGAGGCCCAAACGUUAUUCGGAAUUACUGGGCUUAAAGAGUUCGUAGGCGGCGCAGCAAGUAGGGUGUGAAAGCCCUCGGCUUAACCGAGGAGUUGCGCUCUAAACUACUGUGCUUGAGGAAGCUAGAGGUGAGCGGAACUGAUGGUGGAGCGGUGAAAUGCGUUGAUAUCAUCAGGAACACCGGAGGCGAAGGCGGCUCACUGGGGCUUUUCUGACGCUGAGGAACGAAAGCCAGGGUAGCGAACGGG
rnacentral:rRNA from 1 species